GGGGGUGUCGCCAAGCGGUAAGGCCGGGUGCUCAUAACACUCUCAUCGCAGGUUCGAUUCCUGCCGCCCCCA
rnacentral:tRNA from 1 species